AGAGUUUGAUCCUGGCUCAGAACGAACGCUGGCGGCAGGCUUAACACAUGCAAGUCGAACGCACCGCAAGGUGAGUGGCAGACGGGUGAGUAACGCGUGGGAACCUUCCCUUUGGUACGGAAUAACUUCGGGAAACCGAAGCUAAUACCGUAUAAGUCCUUCGGGAGAAAGAUUAUCGCCAAAGCGAUGGGCCCGCGUUGGAUUAGCUAGUUGGUAGGGUAAAAGCCUACCAAGGCAACGAUCCAUAGCUGGUCUGAGAGGAUGAUCAGCCACACUGGGACUGAGACACGGCCCAGACUCCUACGGGAGGCAGCAGUGGGGAAUAUUGGACAAUGGGCGCAAGCCUGAUCCAGCCAUGCCGCGUGAGUGAAGAAGGCCUUAGGGUUGUAAAGCUCUUUUGGCGGGGACGAUAAUGACGGUACCCGCAGAAUAAGCCCCCGGCUAACUUCGUGCCAGCCAGCCGCGGUAAUACGAAGGGGGCUAGCGUUGUUCGGAAUCACUGGGCGUAAAGCGCACGCAGGCGGAUUGAUAAGUCAGGGGUGAAUUCCCCGAGCUCCACUUCGGGAAUUGCCUUUGAUACUGUUUAUCUUCGGAGUUCCGGAGAAGGUUGGCGGAAUUCCCUANUGGUAAAGGUAAA
rnacentral:rRNA from 1 species